rnacentral:rRNA from 1 species
AUUGAACGCUGGCGGCAGGCCUAACACAUGCAAGUCGAGCGGAGGGGCGGACGGGUGAGGAAUGCCUAGGAAUGUGCCUGGUAGUGGGGGAUAACGUCCGGAAACGGGCGCUAAUAACGCAUCCUAUCAGCUGAGCCUAGGUGGGGUUAGCUAGUUGGUGGGGUAAAGGCCUACCAAGGCGACGAUCCGUAACUGGUCUGAGAGGAUGAUCAGUCACACUGGAACUGAGACACGGUCCAGACUCCUACGGGAGGCAGCAGUGGGGAAUAUUGGACAAUGGGCGAAAGCCUGAUCCAGCCAUGCCGCGUGUGUGAAGAAGGCCUUCGGAUUGUAAAGCACUUUAAGUUGGGAGGCGUUACCAACAGAAGAAGCACCGGCUAACUCCGUGCCAGCAGCCGCGGUAAUAC